GACGAACGCUGGCGGCGUGCUUAACACAUGCAAGUCGAGCGAGGCCCCUCCUUCGGGAGGGUGUCCUAGCGGCGAACGGGUGAGUAACGCGUGGGCAACCUGCCCUCAGCUCUGGGAUAACUCCGGGAAACCGGGGCUAAUACCGGAUACGACCUCCACGGGCAUCUGCGGAGGUGGAAAGUUUUUCGGCUGAGGAUGGGCCCGCGGCCUAUCAGCUAGUUGGUGGGGUAGUGGCCCACCAAGGCGACGACGGGUAGCCGGCCUGAGAGGGCGACCGGCCACACUGGGACUGAGACACGGCCCAGACUCCUACGGGAGGCAGCAGUGGGGAAUAUUGCGCAAUGGGCGAAAGCCUGACGCAGCGACGCCGCGUGAGGGACGAAGGCCUUCGGGUUGUAAACCUCUUUCAGCAGGGACGAAGCGAAAGUGACGGUACCUGCAGAAGAAGCACCGGCCAACUACGUG
rnacentral:rRNA from 1 species